GUGCCAGCAGCCGCGGUAAGACAGAGGGGGCAAGCGUUGCUCGGAAUCACUGGGCGUAAAGGGCGCGUAGGCGGGAUGGCAAGUCAGUCGUGAAAUCUCUCGGCUCAACCGAGAAACGUCGGCUGAUACUGCCGUUCUUGAGGGAUGCAGAGGAGACUGGAAUUCCCGGUGUAGCGGUGAAAUGUGUAGAGAUCGGGAGGAACACCGGUGGCGAAGGCGGGUCUCUGGGCAUUUCCUGACGCUGAGGCGCGAAAGCGUGGGGAGCAAACGGGAUUAGAUACCCCGGUAGUCC
rnacentral:rRNA from 1 species